rnacentral:lncRNA from 1 species
AAUUAGAAUAAAUUAAAUUCAACUUAAUUAGGCUUAAUUAGACUCAAUAAAAUCCUAAUCAAAUCAGGAAUUAACUAAAUCUAACCCCUGAUCAAAUCAGGGACUAAACCACCUUAGCGAUUAGGUCAACAUUUAACCUAAUCGGGUCAAUCCAAACUGAAUCCAAUUCAAUUGGACUUGAUCCAAAAAUAAUUACUCAAUCAAAUUGAGUUAAUUAGUGAUCAAAUCACUAAUUAAAUCUCUUAUAAAUAUUGAGUCCAAAUCCGAUGGGCAAUCAGGCAUCAGAGACCAUCGAUAUGAAAUCCUGAUCAAAGAGUUCAAAUUUCAAAUUCAAAAUUUAAAAUUCAAAAUUUUGACCCCGGUAUCCAAAAUGUGUGGAACUCAUGAUCAGAGAAUUCUAAUUCUCAAUCAUAGAGUUCCAGACACAUAAGACUCAUAAUCAGCCAUC